AUUCCACUACCUCACAUGGUGGCAAGGGAGCACCAUCAACCUCCUUCCAUCUUACCCUGGGUCUGUUCCCUCAGUUCCCUCUCUUGCAGAGCUUGCUCCGAAUGGCAGAGGAUGAGGAUGCCAACGCUCGCCUUCAUUCGCUCUGCAAGAGAUCGGGUAAGUUUUGGUCGGUAAUGGAUGGAGAUGUUUCUGGGGAUAUAUUAAAGGAACUCUGUAUCAUUCUCUUUGGGAGACUGUACUCAAACCCAUCUGUUGAUUUCCACGCCUUUGUGAAUAAAAUUAAAAGAGCCUGGAGAGUUGAAGAUGUAGUUUCUGCCGACCUGCAUUCUGGCCUUUUUGCAUUUACUUUCAAUUCUGAAGGAGACAGAAACAGAGUUUUAGAAUCUGGUCCAUGGUCUUUUGCGAAUCACCUCGUGUUGCUUAAAUCGUGGGAAUCCAAUACACCUCCUCAUCGUUAUGAAUUUGUGACUUGUGCCUUUUGGAUUCAAAUUUGUGGAUUGCCCCUUGAAUAUUACUGUGUGGAUGUUGUGAACAGACUUGCUCAGGGGAUUGGGAAGGUUUUAGAUGCGAAAGUGGAAAGGAAUGGAUUUUAUCAGCAAGAGCGAAAGUAGAGAUGAACCUGGAUGCUCCUUUAAAAUCUGGUAUCGUUGCUAGUGGUGGAGGUACGAAGCUUUGGUUUGAUUUUAAAUACGAAAGACUGCCGCAUUUUUUCUGUUCACGUGGUAAGCUGGGUCAUUAUGCCAAGUAUUGCACAGAGAUCCCUUAUGAAGAAGGCAAUUUAAUUCCAGAAAGUGACAUUUAUUUUGGGAAAUGGCUACGGGCAGAGGUUGAUGAAUAUAGCCCUUUCUGGAAGGUCUUUUAUGCAGCAAAGAUCGAAGAAGAUAUAUAGUUCUAGAUUCCCCGGUCAACAACACUCAAAUUGUGUUUUUUGUGGAAGGAACUUCUGGCCCUGAUAACCUGCAGAUAACCAUUAUGGAGAAUAAAGCAGAAGUCUCUGAAAUUAGAGGAGAAAACCUUUUGAAGUCGGACCCAAGCUAGACUGUCGUUGGGUGAAAUUUCCAUCCCUGCAAAAUCUCGUUGCGUUUCUAUUGUUUUUGUCCAAUACAGAAAGCUCAAACGAAGAGUAGGAAGUUUGCUGCAGAUGUCUAGACAAAAAGCCAUUGAAAUGAACCAAAAUCUUCGUGAUUCCAAAGUCUCGGACUUGUGCAACAAGGUCCUCAUUUAGAAGGACAUUGCUAGGCUUCAGAAUGCAGUGCACAACGUGUUCCAGUUGGCCAUGGUGGAGAUAUUUGAGUGCCUCUGCAAUGUCGACCGUUAUAUUCACUCGCUGAUGGAGACCCAAGUUGUAGUCGACCGUUGGGCACGUAUUGCAGCACCCGAGCUCUCAGAUCAGCGUUUGUGUGGCUGCUGAUCAUCUUGACGAGAUUCUGGUGCCAAUUAUGCAGAAAACCUCACAUUCUGUGCAAAACUUUUGAGAGUGCCUUUGAUAUGGAAAUUCAGUAAUUUGACUGAAACGUCUGUCCCGUUGGUCUGAGUCCGUUUGUGUACGGUGCUAAAGCUUCCUGCUUCGAGCAAAUUGCUUUCGCUGAAGUUGUUAGUAGCUGAGUGGAGCUCCUAAUAUGAUAUUAUUAGGUGGUUUAUUGCAGGAGAGCUUUUUUACCAGUGUUCUGAUGCUUUCUGAGCAAGCAAAUGACAAAGACUAAAAGUAUAGCUGAUACAAUUGGCACCAUAAUGUAUAGUAACCGGAGCCGCUUGUCCCUUGAUGAUUUCUUUCCAUUUACUUUGCACAGUGGGGCUUGAAAAAUUGCAUUUUCACAAAGUGCUUCAUUCCCAAUGAAAGAGAGAAUCGAAAAAUUUCCAAAGGGUCCGGCAUUAGGAAUCUCUCCUGAUAGCUUAUUAAAGGACAAGUUCAAUUUUUGCAGAUAUGUAAGUCCUUCCAGGGACUUGGGUAUUGUGCAGGAUAACUUGUUGUAGGAGAGGUCCAAUCGAUUGUGGUAUCAAUUCUGGAAACGAGUUCUUUGACAAGUUGAGAGAAGCAAGGCUCUUCAACUCCUGGAUGGAACUCGGUAUGGCACCGUUAAGUUGAUCCAAGAAGGAUCGAUGCUCUCUAUAGCUGUCAUUUUCCCCGUCUCAAGUGGUAGUCCUCCAUUGAAAGAAUUGUGACUAUUGAGGAAUAUGAGUUCUUGAAGGCUCUGCAGACUGACCAGUUGUUUCCAAUGCAAGUUAAGAUAGACACUGAUAUACUAUUUUGCGGGAGCAGCAACUCUCCUAAACUUGUCAAGUUGCAUAUCUCAUGGGGGAUCGGUCCCUCGAGAUGGUUGUUAUCACGGUACAGCCUUUGCAGGCUGUUUUAGUCCUCCAAUAGAUGACGGGAUGUUGCUGUCUAGAUCGUUUUCGCCCAACUAUAGAAAGUCAAGCUCUUCAAGAAACCCAUUUGGUUGGGAAUGUGACCUGUUAUUUGACAUUGGGGAGUGACUAGAAUUCGUAGGGAACUUGAGAAGUUUUCGAUAGAUUCUAGUAUGGAGCCACGAAGCCGGUUUUCUUCCGGAACCAAGGUCUGCAGGGAUUGGCAAUUAGACAAAGCAGAGAGAAAAUUGAGCUCCGAACCAUAAGUCUCUCCUGUUAGCUAAUAGACUGAACUGCGAACUAUAUGAGGUUCUUCAAGUUGCCCAAACUCAUAGGUAUCAGUCCGCUGAGUUGAUUGAUCCCGGCAUCGAUAAAAAUUAGGUUCGAAACAUUCGAAAAAUACUUCAGGAUGUUGCCACCAAAGCCAUUGUUUGCUAGAAAGAUUUCUUCCAAAUUUGGAAUGCUUAGAUCGCUACCUGAGGGAAGGCUUCUGGAGAGGAAAUUGUCCAUCAAAGAAAGCAGUUGGAGCGAAAUAAUGUUGAAAUCCUCUCGAGGCACUUUGCCUGUUAGCAAAUUAUCCUGGGGGCUCAUUUCAUUUAGAUUGACAAAAAUGACAAUCUCACUCAGAGUGUCACCUCCGAUGCUGUUAUAUUCUACGUACGGUUGGUGCAAGAUGCGGUUAUAUUCAACGUACAGUUGGUGCAAGCUUGACAUGUUACUACUGAUGGUUCAAUGAAUUAUACCAGUCAAGUUGUUAGUGCCGAGAUGGAGCUCCUGCAGCUUUUGCAAGCUGUCUAUGUCUCAAGGAUUGCUUCCCUGAAACGAUUGAAUGACAAUGACAGCACAACAAGCUCUUUGCAUUGGGUUAGUGUCUCUGGUAACAGGCCGCUGAAUUGGUUUUCAGACAGCAAAAGCUUCUGAAUGUUAGGCCAGCGGUAGCAUAGAUCGGAGGGAAGACUCCCCGAAAGAUCAUUAUAUGUCAACCUGACACUCGUGAGCGACCUACAGAAAAUUGUCAAAGGAAUCGAACGUGCGAGAUUGGCCAUGAGCAAACCAAUACCCUGUGGAUAUGUUGCCCAGGAAGCUCGGAAUUUGACCCUGUAAGUUGUUGAAGCCAAGAAACAGUUGUUGCAACUUUGGGAAGGUGCCAAAUUCUCUCGAUAUGUCACCGUUAGCCUGUUCACAGCAAGUGACAUCAAUUUGAAAUUUUGGCACAGCGCUAAGUUAGGAGGAAUGUUUCCUUGGAACUGGUUUGACUGUACAGGCGGCGUAAAUUACCGUUUUUAUCUGGAACCGUGCCAUAGAAACUGUUGUUGCAAAGAUCAAGAAAAGCCAGGAAAGAGAGAUUGCCGAGGUAAGGAGAGAGUCUGCACUGGAGACCCGUAAAGUUGAGGUCAAAAGUCGUGACUCUCUGCCUGCUGUUGCUGCUGUCCAUUCACAGAAGCUUGCUUCCGCGGUCCGAUUGCCGCCUUUGAUCGUGUUGUCGGGUCGACUUUGGUCGCCAAUUUGAAGUGGAGGCGAGCCUCUUGAUCAGUGAAGUUGCUGGAACAAAUGAUGGGCUGAAACAUCAAUAAGGAAGCGAACAGAACAUCAAGAAAUGCUAAAAAGAUGAACUUCUCCAUCAUGAAGAGUCUCUUUGAUUGAACUUGGAGAACCCCCUAAAGCUCCACUGCACGAAUAUGAUAAGGUUUUGUGAUAACUAGGAAGAGUCCGCAUGUUACUUCGACUAUAAGAGUUACUUCACAAUUUUUUUAACAAUUAAAAGAUAUCUCUAUAAUCUUAAAUCUUAUCUUAGAAAUUUAUAUACAAUGCUUGAUGUGCUGCUCUCA